UACGUAGGGGGCAAGCGUUGUCCGGAAUCAUUGGGCGUAAAGAGCGCGUAGGCGGCCCUGUAAGUCCGCUGUGAAAGUCAAGGGCUCAACCCUUGAAUGCCGGUGGAUACUGCAGGGCUAGAGUCCGGAAGAGGCGAGUGGAAUUCCCGGUGUAGAGGUGAAAUUCGUAGAUAUCGGGAGGAACACCAGUGGCGAAGGCGGCGAUCUGGGAAGAUACUGACGCUGAGGUGCGAAAGCGUGGGGAGCAAACAGG
rnacentral:rRNA from 1 species